CCUACGGGAGGCAGCAGUGAGGAAUAUUGGUCAAUGGACGAGAGUCUGAACCAGCCAAGUAGCGUGAAGGAUGACUGCCCUAUGGGUUGUAAACUUCUUUUAUAUGGGAAUAAAACGUUCCACGUGUGGGCUUUUGUAUGUACCAUAUGAAUAAGGAUCGGCUAACUCCGUGCCAGCAGCCGCGGUAAUACGGAGGAUCCGAGCGUUAUCCGGAUUUAUUGGGUUUAAAGGGAGCGUAGGUGGGUUGUUAAUUCAGUUGUGAAAGUUUGCGGCUCAACCGUAAAAUUGCAGUUGAGACUGGCAGUCUUGAGUACAGUAGAGGUGGGCGGAAUGCGUGGUGUAGCGGUGAAAUGCUUAGAUAUCACGAAGAACUCCGAUUGCGAAGGCAGCUCACUGGACUGCAACUGACACUGAGGCUCGAAAGUGUGGGUAUCAAACAGGAUUAGAUACCCCAGUAGUC
rnacentral:rRNA from 1 species